UGGAGGAAAGUAGGGGAUCGCAAGACCUUGUGCUUUUGGAGCGGCCGAUGCCUGGUUAGCUAGUUGGUAGGGUAAAGGCCUACCAAGGCUUCGAUCAGUAGUUGGUCUGAGAGGACGACCAGCCGCACUGGGACUGAGACACGGCCCAGACUCCUACGGGAGGCAGCAGUGGGGAAUUUUGGGCAAUGGGGGCAACCCUGAUCCAGCCAUGCCGCGUGAGUGAAGAAGGCCUUCGGGUUGUAAAGCUCUUUCAGUCGGGAAGAAAAGGUUGUGACUAAUAAUUGCAAUUCAUGACGGUACCGACAGAAGAAGCACCGGCUAACUACGUGCCAGCAGCCGCGGUAAUACGUAGGGUGCGAGCGUUAAUCGGAAUUACUGGGCGUAAAGGGUGCGCAGGCGGUCUUGUAAGUCAGAUGUGAAAUCCCCGGGCUUAACCUGGGAACUGCGUUGAAACUACAAGGCUAG
rnacentral:rRNA from 1 species